rnacentral:sRNA from 1 species
GCCCUGCCGUCGCCCGGUGUUGGGGCUCUACGGGUGGGGCUCGCCCCCCCCCGCAGUCCCCCGAAAUGUAGUGGCGGUCCAGCCGCGGCGCCCCCUGCGUAGUAGAUCCUACAUCUCGCAUCGGGUCCCGGCGAAGGCCAGCCGUCGAACCUUUUUCAUUUCAUGGUUUGACCUCGGAUCAGGUAGGGUUACCCGCUGAACUUAAGCAUAUCAAUAAGCGGAGGAAAAGAAACCAACAGGGAUUGCCUUAGUAACGGCGAGUGAAGCGGCAACAGCUCAAAUUUGAAAUCUGGUCCCCUUUGGGGGCCCGAGUUGUAAUUUGAAGAGGAUGCUUUUGGCGAGGCGCCGUCCGAGUUCCCUGGAACGGGACGCCGCAGAGGGUGAGAGCCCCGUACGGUCGGACGCCGAGCCUCUGUAAAGCUCCUUCGACGAGUCGAGUAGUUUGGGAAUGCUGCUCAAAAUGGGAGGUAAACCCCUUCUAAAGCUAAAUACUGGCCAGAGACCGAUAGCGCACAAGUAGAGUGAUCGAAAGAUGAAAAGCACUUUGAAAAGAGAGUUAAAAAGCACGUGAAAUUGUUAAAAGGGAAGCGCUUGCGACCAGACUUGCGCCCGUCGGAUCAACCGUCGCUUGCGGCGGCGCACUCCGGCGGGCUCAGGCCAGCAUCAGUUCGUCCGGGGGGAGAAAGGCGGCGGGAAUGUGGCUCUUCG